UAUCAAGGAAGCACUGCCGGAGCUCUGGGAGGCUAACGAGAAGUCUGAAGAUGUGAGGUAUUCAGGGAAGGUUGCCAUUGAGACUUCAGUUAAGGCAUAGCAUAUUUGUAGGUGGGCAUUUUCUCAACUCUAUCUAAUGGGGUCACACGAUGACAUCUUAUUUGUUUGAAAUUAAACACGCUUUUUUUUCCCCUCAACUUUGGUAACAUUUGAGCCAUUGAGCUCUCACAUUAGCUUCUGUUGUUCUUUGUUUCUCUGAUUUGUAGUUUAAAUGAUCUUAGCUUCCUGUAUUGGGGGCUUGUAGCAGGGUUGGCCUUCCUGCAUGGGUUAUUUGGAAUAUGAAUCUUGAUUUAUUAUAGGGAGAAAUAAAAAAAAAAAAAGUCUCUCUCCUCAUUCUAGUGAGCUAUGUGAUAUGGCAAUCACCUGCUAUUAUGGUUAUAUUGUUGAUGCCACCUGUGGUUAACAAUAUUUCCCAUAAAAACUCAAUUCCCACCCUUUAAUUCUCCUCCAUUACCACCGUUCCCAAACAAUGUUUUGGCCUGCCAAAUGCAAUCUCUAUUUUUCAUUCGAGAGUAGAUAUGGAAAGUAUACCCCUAUCUCAUGAGAUUCCCCACGCAUCACAUGACAAUGAACGGAACAGAGAACAGUAGUGGAGAAAAUUCUCCCUACCGGCCGUGGGAUAGAUCGAAAAUGGCUCCUGCUGCGUCCUGGCCAUUCUUAAGGCAGAGUAAACCGCGCUUGCCCACUUGUGCUGUUUUUGGUGUAUGACGCAAAAUUCAUUUUGCAACACAGUAGGCUAUGAAGCACAUUUGCGUGAGAUUGUGAAUUUGGUGACAUGAAUGACGGAACUAAGUUGCAGAUACAAUCUACGGAGUUCCCUGCCUAGCAGAUGAUAAAUAUGUGAGGUUGUUUUGUAGGAAUUUUGUAUGGAAAAAAUACACUAAACAGAAGAAAAGUAGCAUAUGCUCUUCUGAAGUACCUUUGACGUUUCUAUCACCAUUCUUGUUUUUUAAAAACAUAAUUACUUUGCAAUAAAAAGCACGGAGACCCCUCUGGCCUCCACAAAAUCAUCAUAAUGAGUUGAACUAGCCUCUAUCGCAAAAAAAAUGGACGAAUGGCAGAGAACUUCAAUAAAUUUUCAUUCUUUCAAAGAAUACUUUUUCCCUGUGAAUGCUUGAAAUUUAGGUUCUUCAACCUUCUGAGGUGCCUCUUGACUGCUCUUAUUUGGGGCAUUCUUUGGUGUUCCACUUCGGGGUUGGUUUACAUUUGAACCAAAGACGAGCUUCCCAGAGUGUGAACAAGAUGCAGAGUUUGAUGGCUUGGAGCUACUACUAUCUUUCCCAACCUCUUGAGGGUUCUGUUUCAGAUUGUUAGCUGAUGCAGUUGCUAGUGCUGAUAGUUUUCCAUCCAAACGUCUUGCUACACCAGUGAAUGGACUGAACUUUGGCAUCUUUUUGGCUGGCUCUUCUUCAACUUCAGGUGGUGUCUUAUUUGACCUAGGAGAUGGAGCUGGCUUUUCAGGUUCUUUAUAGUCAAGAGGCGGAGCAAAAUCUACCUCACAGUCUGUUUCAAUAAUACUGAUUGCAGAGCAUGGUUUUGUUUCAACUAUGUCAAUGUAGUACUUCUUGUUGUUAUAAGCAACCAUUAUUGUAUCACCAGUUGUUAAACAAGAGUAGUUCCUCAAUGAAGUCUCUAAGAUUGCUUUGGGGUUGGAGAUAUCUAAGAAGUCCUUAGUGUGGGGCUGCAGCUUUACAUAAGUUCCCUUUGUGAGGCUGGCAUUUUUUAAUUGCACAAUGUCUCCCUCUUGCAGGAGCAUGUUUUCCAUCAUCCAAUAGGGCAAGAAUAUGAUUCCCUCAUCAGCAAUAAAUUCUAGAACCCCACAAUGUGUAACUCGCUCAACAGAUGGAUUUCGGAGUUCAAAAAGCAUUGGGUAGUCAAUGUGCAAAGAAGCUGGAGAGCAAACAUAUAAAACUUGUGAUUGAUGCUAUGAUAACAAAACCAGGAAUACAAAAAGGAAAAAAAAAAAAUCCAUCUUAAAACACAUGACCAGAAAGCAGAAAUUAAAGAGAUGAAGCAACUGGAAAAAAAUAUUGAAAAUUAGUUGCUUACCAAGGUGAUCAAGAGCUGAGGGAGGCAUAAUAACUAGAAGCAACAAGAUUAAUCAAUUACAAACCUUUGUAAAGAAAUUGUCAAGGAAAAAGGUGGGAAAAAAACAACUUAAAUGAGAAGAUAAACAUACUCUUAUCGCCCUUUUCCACAUGUGUCUGCAAAUAUUCACAUGGUUAGAAUGAGUUUGGAGUAAUAUAUUUAAGUGGUACUCAUCAACCACAAAUACAAUGAUCAAAUGAAAAUAUGCUGCAUAAAAGAUGGUUACUGAAAAGCAGGAAGCCAACAAAUCCAUUACAAGGAAUUGAGAAUUAUUAAAAACAAUUUCAGCACUUAUUUAUCAAACCUUAUCAAUGAAAGAGACAGGGUAACAGCGAUAACUCCGUUCAAACGUUGAACUGUGGGGGUCUAGCCGAGCCAUGUCUAUCGAGUUAAACAGCUCCAACCCACAAGAUGUCCACCUGAAUAAAUGUGAAAAGUAAAGAUAGAGCAGAGAAAACAAAUAACCUAAUGGACAAAAAGAAAACCCAAUUCGUAUUAAAAAUGAAUCAAACCCAAAAACACCUCAUUUACGAGAGAAUGUUGAGAUAAUUUCAAAACAUGUAUAAUGACAUGUUUAUAUACACAAAACACACAAGCACUACUGCUAUUGAGUCUUACCAAAAUAUUCGAAGGAAAACAAAAAGAUCAAGAUAUAGUACCCAAAAAGCGAUUAAAGCAGAGAUAUAGGAUCAAAACCUAUGGAAUCAGAGAUUGACUGAUGACGACGGGGAGCCAACACAGUUUUGGGUGAAUGGAGGAAGGCGGUCCCCGGAUGGGUGGAACUUGCUGUGGGUGAAUGACGGUUAUUUAAGGAGAGUGCGGGUCCUUUGAUUUUAUAGGUAUAGGAGAAUGUCUAUCGUAUGCAUAUCGGACACCAACUCAUUUUGUACCAAGCAGUCCUGAUGCUCAUCGAAUCGUACGACUGCUAUUGCAGAUCGCAACCUCGUGGGAGAGGAUCCCACCUUGAAACAUGGGCAAAAAAAU
rnacentral:misc_RNA from 1 species